rnacentral:rRNA from 1 species
UAGUAACUGCGAGUGAAGCGGGAAAAGCUCAAAUUUAAAAUCUGGCGGUUUCACCGUCCGAGUUGUAAUCUGGAGAAGCGUUUUCCGUGUCGGACCGUGCACAAGUCUCUUGGAACAGAGCGUCAUAGAGGGUGAGAAUCCCGUUUUAUGGCACGGACACCCGAUACUUUGUGAUACGUUUUCUAAGAGUCGAGUUGUUUGGGAAUGCAGCUCAAAAUGGGUGGUAAAUUCCAUCUAAAGCUAAAUAUAGGCGAGAGACCGAUAGCGAACAAGUACCGUGAGGGAAAGAUGAAAAGCACUUUGGAAAGAGAGUUAAACAGUACGUGAAAUUGUUGAAAGGGAAACGCUUGAAGUCAGUCGCGUCUUCUAGGACUCAGCCUUACUUCGGUUAGGUGUACUUCCUGGUUUGACGGGUCAACAUCGAUUUUGAUCGACGGAUAAAGGAGAAGGGAAUGUGGCACCUUCGGGUGUGUUAUAGCCCUCUUCGUAUACGUCGAUUGGGAUCGAGGACUGCAGCACGCCCUUGUGGCCGGGGGUUCGCCCUACGUAUCGUGCUUA